rnacentral:tRNA from 1 species
UAAUAAGUGGCAGAAAAAUUGCAUUGGUUUUAAACACCUAAAAUAAGAUAUUUUUUUCUUCUUAUUAU